UAAUUUAUUGAAUUUUUUAUUUUAUUUAUUAAAAUUAAUUUUUCGUAGUUAAAUAGUCGUUAAAAUUUAUUGAAUUUUUUAUUUUAUUUAUUAAACUUAACCUUUCGUAGUUAAACAAUCGUUAAAAUUUAUUAAAUAUUUUAUUUUAUUUAUUAAAAUUAAUUUUCUGUAGGUAAACAGUCGUUAAAAUUUAUUGAUUUUUUUUAUUUUAUUUAUUAAAUUAACUUUCCAUAGUGAAGUAGUCAUUAAUGCUUAUUAAAUUUUCAAGAUUUUAGUUUUUUUCAACGUAGAUCAAACACAAACACAACAGUAGCUCCGCCCCCAAUCCUCGCCGUCGAUCUCCCCAUCGUCGUUUCAGAACCGCGGCUCCGCUCUGAUCCACGCCGUCGAUCUCCGCCAUCUUCUCCCCGCCGUCGAUCCAUCCCCAUACGAUUGAAGAUCAGUCGCAGGUCGAAUCAGUGCUCUGCACAAAGGGCAAGUUCUCUCUCGUUCGAACCUGAAAGCAAUUAUUGUGACCUUCUUGAAAGAUCAAAACUGACUUGUAGGCAGCAUCUCAUCUGAAGCUCGUAAAACCAUAACUGACUUGUGAUAAUCAUCUCACGUGGAGCUUGAAAGACCAUAACUGGCUUGUAAGCAUCAUCAUCUCGUCCAUAAUUUGAUAGACAAGAGUUGAAUUCUAAGCAUCACUCGUUUGAAGCUUGAAAAAUCGGAGCUGAGUGCUAAGCAUCAUCUCAAAAGGCCGAAAUUAAGUUAUAAGCAUCAUCUUACUUGGAGCUUGACAAACCUGUGUUCUGAGUGCGUCUCGUAUAGAGCUUGAUAGACAACCUUUAACCUUUUAAUAUUAUCUCGUCUGAAGUUUGAAAAAUCAAAAGUUAAUUUUGAGAAUCAUCUCAUCUAGAUACCUAACAAAAAUGUUUAUCAAUUAAUUGGUCAAUUUGUAUUGUCAUUAAUUUAAUAUAAAGAUAAUUUUGCCACGUUGAACAAA